GACGAACGCUGGCGGCGUGCCUAACACAUGCAAGUCGAACGAGGUCCAAGGAAGCUUGCUUCCUGAAGACCUAGUGGCGAACGGGUGAGUAACACGUGAGAAACCUGCCUCGGAGUGGGGAAUAACUCGGGGAAGCUCGAGCUAAUACCGCAUACCUUCACAUGAUCGCAUGGUCGAGUGAAGAAAGAAUUUCGCUCUGAGAGGGUCUCGCGGCCUAUCAGCUUGUUGGUGGGGUAACGGCCUACCAAGGCAACGACGGGUAGCUGGUUUGAGAGAACGAUCAGCCACACUGGGACUGAGACACGGCCCAGACUCCUACGGGAGGCAGCAGUGGGGAAUCUUGCGCAAUGGGCGAAAGCCUGACGCAGCAACGCCGCGUGCGGGAUGACGGCCUUCGUGGUUGUAAACCGCUUUCUAGCAGGGACGGAAAAUAGACGGUACCUGCAGAAGAAG
rnacentral:rRNA from 1 species